AUUUAAAUAGUUUAAUAAAAAUAUUGAUUUGUGGUGUCAAUGAUAUGAUUAUAAAUCAUUUUAGAUU
rnacentral:tRNA from 1 species